rnacentral:misc_RNA from 1 species
GGCUGCAGCACUGUGCAUCUUCCAGGCCCGACACAUAGACACCCGCGUGCAAACAUUGGCACACGCACGCAUCUAUCGAUGCUCAGCUUUCCGAGGCUGAGUGCGCUCCCGGCGCGGCGGUGCCGCACCACAGCCUUCCACGAAACGCCGCUUGCGUCCGCUGCGCGUUGUCAUCGUCAGUGGCACAGUACCUUGGCGGCUUCCAACUGUGGCGGGAUAGCCGCGGCACCAGCAGCACGUCGCGCUGAUCCCUGUCUGGCAACCUCUUCUAGCUCCGUGCAGGCGCUCUCUAGCCACAGCUGCCCGACAGCAGCUGUUCUUGUCGACGCCAGCGACAGCGCGCUCGUGACGCUGCCCUACUGCCUUGCGGGUGUGCAGGAGAAGGUACGCGCCCAUUUGCGGUCGCUGCUCGUCCAGCGCCUCCUUGCCCCCCUGCUCACCGAGUCCCUGGCAAACUUUUUUGGAGAGCAGGACAGCGAGGGCAGCAGUGACACGCAUCCAGACCGAAGCGGCGACGCUGCAGCCAUGACCUCCGCCGUUGUUCACAGUGUGACCCAAUCACCGAGCGCUCUGCGCUACCUCGCCUUCUCGCAUCAGCAUCCGCAGCUGCGGCAUCCUAGCUGGGCACCGCUGUGGGCAGCGAGUCCGUCGUCGAACACACCACUCUCUGCGGCGCCGCGCACCUCGCAUGCAGAGCCGUACGCUGAGAUACGCGCGGAUGCCAAGCGGCCUGACGAGGCAGCGCCCGACGCCUUCGACGUCCAUGUCACCCUCGUGGACCAAGACGCGGCAGAGGCACUUGUGCGACCUUGCCUCGGGGAAUUGGCACCUUUGCUGGGCUGCCGCGCGUGUGGCUCUUUCCGCGCCGUCACCACCGCCGCUCGCAAUGCGGUGUCGGCGGCCUUCUCACCUUCUACUAAGGCGGAAGCCCCACCAGCCCAACUCUCUGCGCCAUCGCCAUCGCUGCCGCCUUCUUUGCCCGUCGUCACCUACUGGGAAUGCUGCCGCGUAGACUCCUAUAUUCCAUCCUAUGUGCAGGUGCAGGCCGCCGUGCGCCAUCUGCUUCUCCGACGGCGACCGACGGCAGACUACACUGCAAAUGCGUGGCCAGCAGCGGCGGCAGCGUUAAUGUCGGCGCCUCAGUUACCGCGAGCACGCCCCUUGGCGCUUGUUGCGGUGGUCGUACCAGACCACCUGACAGCCCUGUACUCAGAGUUUGUAGACAUGCUUGAGCGGGAGAGCGGGCAGUGGAUGCAGCAUCAGCAGCAUCAGCGGCGCGGCGCCACGUGUGGUGGGCCGGUGCAUCUUCUUCUCUUCAACAGCAAAGGGCUGGCGCGAGAGUAUGCCGUCGUGUAGAGGCUUUUGUGUGUGUGUGUGUGUGAGGGACAGGGCACAUGCAGAGCUGCGGCUGCUCACUGAACGCUUCGUCCGUUCGCCAUCCGCCUCCUUGUUAACCUCCCUAUCGUGCAUUCUUUUGAUGUUGUGUGUGUGUGCGUGUGAGAACUUCCUGCUUUGCAUGUCCGUCUGCGUCCCCUGAGCGCAUCUUCACCAAGGGCGUGCGCGGUUUCAACGAUUGGAGAGAAGGCUCGCGAGACCGCAGCGCGAUGCCCUCGCAUUGGUGCGCGCGCGCUCGCUGUUUCUCGUUGAACAUGCCCCGCACUUGAAUGCGGACUCGCACGUACUGCGUCUUGCAUGUGGGUGUUUCCACGUGUGCAGCCGUCCCAACACUCGCAUCAUCUUCGCUCCAGACGCUCUUAACCAUCUCUCCCCCUCUCCCCGUCGGCGUGGCUACGCAUACGUGAAUGUGGACGCGUGCACUCAAAUGGUUCUCCGCCACAG